UACGAGGGGGGCUAGUGUUGUUCGGAAUCACUGGGCGUAAAGGGAGCGUAGGCGGGCUUUCAAGUUAGGUGUUUAAUCCCGGGGCCCAACCCCGGACAGGCACUUAAAACUGGAAGUCUUGAAUAGUGGAGAGGUCAGUGGAAUUAGAGGUGUAGCGGUGGAAUGCGUAGAGAUCUCUAAGAACACCAGUUGCGAAGGCGGCUGACUGGACACAUAUUGACGCUGAGGCUCGAAAGCAUGGGGAGCAAACAGG
rnacentral:rRNA from 1 species